rnacentral:lncRNA from 1 species
UUUUUUUUUUUCCUUUUUAGGGCUGCAUCUGGCACCUCAGGCAUAUGGAAGUUUCCAGGCUAGGGGUCAAAUCAGAGCUGUAGCUGCCAGCUUAUGCCACAGCCACAGCAACACCAGAUCCAAGCCAUAUCUGCAGCCUACACCACAGUCCACAACCAUGCUAGAUCCUUAACCCACUGGGAGAGGCCAGGGACUGAACUGGCAUCCUCAUGGAUACUAAUUGGGUUUGUUACUGCUGAGUCACAAUGGGCACUUGAGCACUGCAGGUUUUGUCAAGGUCCCAAGGUUUGAAUGUGACAGUAGUAUUAUGAAUAUGGAAUAUUUAUCUUCUGCUGAGUAAGAAAUUGCCUUUAGUUUAGCAUUUUAAAACAAUACUCAUGUACUCUUCUGCAAUCUGGAGGGCAGGAAUCUAAGCGGGCUUGGCGGGGCUCUGCUCUGGAUAGGUAUCACAGGAUCAAAUCAAAGUAUCGGCCAGCUGGGCUCUUAUCUGAAGAUUCUUAUCUGAAGAAUCUGCUUCCAAGGGCAGGUUUGGCAGAACCCAAGUCCUUGCAGUCUUGGGACGGAGGUCCCUACCCCUUUGCUGACUGUCAGUCAACCAGCUCCUGCGGGCUGCCCACCCCCUCUCCAGUGACUCCUCUCCAUCUUCAAAGCAGUUCCUUCUCAAACUUCUAAUCUCUUGGAUCUCCUCUCUCCCACUGCCGCCCCCUCCCCUUUUUAUUGUGGGGCGCUGUGGCUUGCCGUGGGAUCUCAUUUCCCAGACCAGGCCACAGCAGGGUCCUACACACUCCACCACCUGGGAACUGCCCUUCCCUUCCUCCUGAUAUGAUGACAUCAGGCCCACAGUGAUAAUCUCCCGUUUUGGAGUAAGGUUACUUGGGACUUUGAAUUACAACUGCAAAAUUCCUCAGAUUAGCCCCUAGAUUAACAUUUGGUUAAAUAACCAGUGGAUGAACUGGAAUUUGGGGCCCUGGGGGAGAACGGGAUCUUUAGAAUUCUGCCUACCCCGAAGGUUAAGUCGGAACACAGAAGCUAGGGCAAUGGGUUAGUCAUCCAAAUGAACACAGACCCUGCCAAGAUAGUGACUGUCUUGGAAAGAAGAGAUGUACCGACAACCAGCUGUCAAUGUCUUUAAUAGAUAUGAAGGGAAGGAGGCAUGAACACAGAGAAAGACAGCACACUGUGGUUGGGGGCGCAGGAAGUGGUGGAGGUGUUGAGGCCAGAUGUAGAGCUAGACUGCCUUGAUUCAUAUAAAUUUCUUUAUAUAGUAGACAAAAAGACCAAAUAAAUAAUUCAUUUGGUUAU